rnacentral:pre_miRNA from 1 species
CAAGUACUCCCUCCGUCCAACAAAAAAUGUCUCAAUUUUGUCAAAAUUUAAAUGUAUUUAGACAUAGCUUAGUGUAUACAUGCAUUCAAAUUUGGUCAAACUUGAGACAUGGUUGGACGGAGAGGGAGUAACAC